UGAACGCUGGCGGCGUGCCUAAUGCAUGCACGUAGAACGCUGAAGGAGGAGCUUGCUCUUCUGGAUGAGUUGCGAACGGGUGAGUAACGCGUAGGUAACCUGCCUGGUAGCGGGGGAUAACUAUUGGAAACGAUAGCUAAUACCGCAUGACAACAGUUAUUGCAUGAUAACUGUUUAAAAGGGGCAACUGCUCCACUACCAGAUGGACCUGCAUUGUAUUAGCUAGUUGGUGAGGUAACGGCUCACCAAGGCGACGAUACAUAGCCGACCUGAGAGGGUGAUCGGCCACACUGGGACUGAGACACGGCCCAGACUCCUACGGGAGGCAGCAGUAGGGAAUCUUCGGCAAUGGACGGAAGUCUGACCGAGCAACGCCGCGUGAGUGAGGAAGGUUGUCGGAUCGUAAAGCUCUGUUGUAAGAGAAGAACGAGGGUGAGAGUGGAAAGUUCACACUGUGACGGUAUCUUACCAGAAAGGGACGGCUAACUACGUG
rnacentral:rRNA from 1 species